rnacentral:rRNA from 1 species
GACGAACCGUGCAAGCGUUGUUCGGAAUCACUGGGCUUAAAGGGCGCGUAGGCGGCUCAUCAAGUCGGGGGUGAAAUACUUCAGCUUAACUGGAGAAGUGCCUUCGAUACUGGUGGGCUUGAGGGAGGUAGGGGUCUUUGGAACUUCUGGUGGAGCGGUGAAAUGCGUUGAUAUCAGAAGGAACGCCGGUGGCGAAAGCGAAGGACUGGACCUCUUCUGACGCUGAGGCGCGAAAGCUAGGGGAGCAAACGGG